UAUUCAAAAUUUUAUCCUUUUAUACUAUUAAAAACUAAGGUGACUAACAAAAAAAACCAAGCAGUGACAUGUAACGUGCCAUUUGUACCUCAUGUUGAUGUUUAGGGAUCAAAUUUUAACAGUAAAAAUGGAUUGCAAUUUUAACA
rnacentral:pre_miRNA from 1 species